UUUUUUUUCUUCUUUUUUUUAAAUCUAGCCUGCAUUUUUACAGCGUUUCAUCUGACAUUGAACUCAAACAUCUAUAGAAUCAGGUGAUGCAGCCACAUCAGCAGCACUGAAGAAGUAGGGGAUCCUUCACGAGAGAGUCUUGCGCUGUUUCAGAGUAGCAGCU
rnacentral:lncRNA from 1 species